GGUUGUACAAGGUGGUUGUAGCUCUUCCGCUUCUAUGCGUGGGUGGUAGCGAUUGAGGACACGUUUGAGGAUUACGCGAUUUCUGCUGUCCUAGGCAUUGCUAGACAUGUGAAGAAAGAAACCGAAACCCCUGUCCUGUCCUGUUUACCACCGUUCGUAUGCUCCCUGUUGUACGCGCAAUGUGGGAACGCAGACGCCGACUUUUAUUAUGUCUUUACAUGUUGCUUCUUCUUAAGAAGAAGCGACAAAUAGAAAAAAGAAGGGAAAGACAGCGACGUCUGCGCCGGGCUGAGAAACGAAGAAGGGAACAAAGACGAUCCCAUUCGUUACAGCACAGGUUGCCGCCUUCAUCGUCAGCAACCACGCAGAACAGGCUCGUAGGCAAUAUCCUUCGGGAGCGCUCCAUAGGCACGCAGAUAUAUCCUCCCAAGUGUUCCAGAAGCACGCAGACAUCGGAAGCAUCCAGCGCGUUGGUGAAGCAAGAAGCUCUAGAUGAUUCCUGUGACAGCUUCAAGAUAGGGCACGAAGAAUGUUCGCAGUGAACAAAGACGCUCUUCGCGAGGAAAAGUCCCACAAUCACGGUACUUGAGCACUCAUCGCGGAACCACGUUGGAAUCAACUACAUGAUCUGCGCUCUUGGAGAAAAGGUGGAACAGAUUUCACACGUGCCAGGAGAACAACUUCGUCUUUCAUGUCACAAUGUGUAGAACAAUAUGUAGAACAAUGUCAAAUUAAAAACUCCUUCAUUUUUG